rnacentral:misc_RNA from 1 species
ACAUGAACACACCCACCCACCCACACUCACACACACAAAGCCCUUAUUCACAGUAAAGACAAUUGGAUUUGUUUUCGUUUUUCUGCACCCGAGUAAGGUUUGAGGUGAUUCCGCAUGAGUCAGUGUGUUCCAUCAGGCUUUCUCUUCUUUUCUCUCCUGUGUUUGCUUGCUUUUGCUUUUCACACCUCGUGCUGAUGUCCGAAAACGGUCGAAGUGCUGUGCCUGAGGGCGCGGUGCCGAAUACCCUUGGCAAUGGCGAUGCCGAUUACCCCGACCCUCGCACACCCAAGCAGGGCAACUUCGCGGCGGUCAACAGCAGUGCACUAAAUAGCAGCGAGGGCAACGCGAUUUCGAGUUUCUUGCUUAUUGGCAAGCUCAAGUCCGUCGUGUACGAAGUUUUGUAUAACUUGGAAAACCAUGCCCAUUUACAUGACAUAGAUGAAUUUAUCGCCGUAACGGAGGACUGCCUGAAGGCGCUGAAGACCGUCAAGGUGGAGCGGCGCAUUGAAGCGCGCAGAAUGAAUCUCUCCAUGCGCAACCAGGUCAACUCUUUAGUGAACACGCUGGCGACGCCUUCGAACAGGGAGGCUGACGACGCGUUAGGCGAAGCUGUGCGUACCUCCGCCACCACGGUGAGCCAGAGUCCCCAAAACUACAAAGCGGCGCUCCUCAAGCAGAAGCUUCCGUCUCCCAAGCACUCUCCUGUGCGGGCAGAUGUGCAGACAAGGGGCGACGUGGAGGCUGCUCGGUACGCGUCCGCGUUGCGCGCGGAGGAGCGUCAGAGACAGGCAGAGGAGCGCCGAUUUGAUAUUCUGCAGGAGAUGAAGCAGAAGUCGGAGGUGGCCGAUGCCCGAAGCCUGCGCGCCAAAGCGCGGCGCGAGGAGGCUGAAACAAAGCAGCGCAUGGAGACGCAAGAUCGGAUGGACAACGGAGUGCGCCGUGCGGAGGAGGCGCGGCGACAGACUCGCGAGAAGGCCCAGCGCGCCCACUCCCGUGUGGAGGAGGUGCUACUCACGAAGGAGCUGCAGCAGCAGAACAAGGCGCUUUUAUUGGACAAGAAAAUGAGCGAUGUGGAGCAUAACCAGGAGCAGAUGCGAGAGAAACUGCAAAAGCAGGCACAGGAGCGGCAGGAGGCAGUGCGAGCCGCCGCUGAGCGUCGCCGAAACUUAAGCCAGGAGCGACAGGAGAAGCAGCAGCAGCGCGAACAGCACCGUGUUGACAAUCUUCGCCGCGUCGACGAGCAGAAGAAAGUGGAUCAGGAGGUGAAGCAGCAGAAGGCACGAGAGUGGGAGAAGAAGGUGCAGCAACACCACGUCGACACCACCGCAGAGGCGGAGGCGAAGAGUCGAAAGACGGAGGAAAAGUUUCAGCAGAGCGCGCAGCUGUUGGAGGAGCAGCGGGAGAGGCGGCAGCAGAAACUGGAGCGGCAGGAGCAAAAGCUACGCGAGGCGAAGGAACGUCGGGACAGGGAGCUGGCGGCUCGGCCAACGUUGGAGGAGAUGAUGCCGCCCCUGUCAGAGCAAGAGGUGGAGCAGCAAGCGUCGCGCUUUUCGCGUUUGUCUACCACAGCUGCGCACCACGGCAAGGUAUUUGCGGACACGUACCAAAAGAUGUCGGCGCACUCCACCAAAGAUUUGAAUCGCAGCAGGCUGCGCGUCGUUUUCAGCCGUCUCGCUUCAGCCGUGGCGACGCCGUCAGUGGUGCAGUGCAGGCAUCCCUUGAGUGAAAUCACCGCUGCAACUCUCGGGAAUGUGGACUACGAAUUCGUGCGCUACUUCAACGCGUUCGAGACACUGGUCAAGGUCCUCGUGGAGGCUCGGAAAGCGCGCGACUUUGGGGUCAUGAGGCAGACAACCGACAUCUUGCUGUCGUGGUUCGUGGAUGAGAAGGAGGGAAGAGAGAACGUGGUGUACUUCAUCAAGAGUGGCUGCACGGUGUUGCUGUUGACGUGCCUGCGUGAUGAGGCUCACGCGCUGCUCCUUCAGCAGAACGCCGAGGCUCUCCGCUGCACAAUGGAAGCGCUGGGCACGUGUCUUGAGCGUAUCAGCGCGGAAGCACAGGGAGCAGCAAAGUUGGCGCCGGUGCGGGACCAGCUACUCAACGAGAUGGAGGUUGUCGGUGUUGACCGCGUCUGCAUCGCAGUACUUCAAACGUGCACGGAGGAGGGUGAGUUGCAACUUGCCUACACCGCCCUGUGCAUUAUUCACACGGAACUGAGCGUGGUAACCCGUCGAAAAGGAGAGGUAAAGCGGAACUGGUUUCAACAAAUCACAACGUCCCUCUUUACGCUGCUGCAGAACAUGCUCACGCCGAACGGAUCGCCGCUGCGGGAGAAUGAUGCGAGCCUGUCAUGCGAACGGGUGACUAUACUGUUUUGCCUGUUUCGCACCCUCAACACACUCGCGCGCUGGCAGCUGACCAAGUUCCAAGAGCUGCUGCACGACGGUUCGACCGACGCGGGGGCCGCCAUGGAGGCGAUGCAAGUGAGGAAGGGCGAAAUGAAGCGCACCCCCUCUGCUGACUCGCUGCCAGCACUCAUCACUCGCACGGAGCUGUUUCACAUUCUCAACGGAUUUUUCAUGUUUAUCCACGGUCACCUCGAGGAGCUGGAGACAAUUCCGGCCUCGGAGGACGCCGAGGGGGCGACCGGAAAGGGCAUCAAAAGCUCCUUUACAGAGGCGCUGCAGUUCGGCAUCACGUUGAACACUUUCCCAGCCUUCCCUUGCAGCAGCGGCUCCGAUCCGGGCGAUUCGCAGAAGUUAGGCGGCAAGCACUACCACCUGCGCGCGACCCUGCACGAGUGCAUCCUCCUCGUCGGUUACCUUUGCUUCGACGACGCACCGCUCCAAGACAUGAUGGGGUGGGGUAAGAAGAAGCCACUCCUGGGAACGAUGCUGAACGUGCUGCCGAUCACCUACUUCUCCAAUGCGCGGCAUAUUUUGUUUCCGACAAUCCUCUCCGCGAUUCUUCAAAAUAACCGAAACUCAAUGAUUGUCCGAGAGGAGAUGUCCCUGGCGGAGCUGCAGCAGUUCAUCUCCCAGGAGUACGAUCCGUUGACCAAGAAGGCAAAAAUGUACGCGCAGGAGCAUCAUAAGCAGCUAGUGGCGCAUAAGAUGGAGACAGAUCCCCGCUUUGCACUCAUGGUGAAGCUGCAGGGCAAGUCGUGGGCGGACAUGGCGGACGACGACGACUCCCCGCCGGCGACGGCGCGCUCCUCCGAGACAACGAGCACGACGCCGGCGGUGGAGAAGGAGAAAUUGUGCAAAGGGCUUCGAGCAAUGUCGCUGAACCAAAGCAACUACUUCAAGUUGGAGAGGCGGCUGCCCAUAUCGUAUUGGCCCGCCGCGAUGGAGCAGCUGGAGAAGCUGCGCCAGCUGUAGAGUGUGCCGCGACGUACCGGGUGUUUUUGUCGUUGCUUCGGCUUCGUUGCUUUUUUUUUAGCGUCUUUCACGUGUUUCUCUUCUGAACGUCAUGCGAGAUGAACCGAUGAGAGACUCUACACGCAUACACAAAUAGACGCACACAUCCGUGCCCAGGAAGGCACGAAAUACUCGAUCCAAAGCAAGCAAGCUGAGCAAGUGGUUCACAAUAGGUUGGUGCGGGCUUCUACGCGGUGCGUCGGCCCCCGUUGCAGCUGGGGACAAGGUGCAGGGGGUGAAUGAGCUUUCAU